GCGCGGCGGCGUCGCCGGCGGCGGGCGGAGAUGAGUUGUUGCAGGCCUCCUUUUUCUUGAUGAUAAACUUGGUAUUGCCUACUCCUAGAAGAUGUUUGACAAUUGGAGACUGCAGCGCAACUUUUCUCAAAUAUCUAGGCCUUUCUUUGUCCUAAUGAAGAGAAGUUUGCAAGAUUGGAAAAAAGAAGUGAUUCUUGGCAAUGCCUGUUGUGUAUAGAACAUUUUAUUCACUUGGGUGCCACUGAUAAGCCUAAUUCACCAUGAACACCUCUCAGUUGGGUUUUUGUACUUUAGCCUGCACUCUGGUAUGAACACCUCAGCUUCUUCACUCAAGAUUACUAUUUAGAUUUUAUUUUCUGACUCCUUUUUAUUUCCCUUUCCUCAUUUCUACCCCUGGUUUUACCAUGAUUCUGUUAACUGAGUAUUUAGAGCUAACAGAGAAUCAUUUUUUGCUGGAGUAUUUGGGAACAUUUUAUGUUUAGCAACAGUACAUCUUCUGAUAUUCUUCAUGAAAUUCAUUGCU
rnacentral:sRNA from 1 species